AGCCGCGUCAUUGGGGAGUAGCCGCUCCUAAUCUAUUUUACGAGGUUUACAUCAACAUAAUUGGCCCUCAAGGCCAUGGUGUAAACAGCGCUUUGUGAACAGCAAAAUGCUGUGAACAACUCAUCGCCUGGCAAGACCU
rnacentral:sRNA from 1 species